CUUGGUACACACCGCCCGUCACACCAUGGGAGCGGGUUCUGCCAGAAGUAGUUAGCCUAACCGCAAGGAGGGCGAUUACCACGGCAGGGUUCGUGACUGGGGUG
rnacentral:rRNA from 1 species